AGAGUUUGAUCCUGGCUCAGGAUGAACGCUGGCGGCGUGCCUAACACAUGCAAGUCGAACGGGUGUGGUAUCAGGGAAAAGGGGUUUACUUCUUUGACCAGAUAACACACUAGUGGCGGACGGGUGAGUAACGCGUGGAUAACCUGCCUUAUACAGGGGGAUAACAGGGAGAAAUUCUUGCUAAUACCCCAUAGGUAUGUCUGACGCAUGUUGGACAUAUUAAAGCUUUGGCGGUAUAAGAUGGGUCCGCGUCUGAUUAGCUAGUUGGUGGGGUAAAGGCCCACCAAGGCGACGAUCAGUAGCCGGCUUGAGAGAGUGGACGGCCACAUUGGGACUGAGACACGGCCCAAACUCCUACGGGAGGCAGCAGUGGGGAAUAUUGCACAAUGGGGGAAACCCUGAUGCAGCGACGCCGCGUGAAGGAAGAAGGUCUUCGGAUCGUAAACUUCUAUCAGCAGGGAAGAAGGAAGUGACAGUACCUGAGUAAGAAGCCCCGGCUAACUACGUGCCAGCAGCCGCGGUAAUACGUAGGGGGCGAGCGUUAUCCGGAAUUACUGGGUGUAAAGGGUGCGUAGGCGGUAUGGCAAGUCAGUUGUGAAACCCCCUGGCUCAACCAGGGGCUUGCAAUUGAAACUGUCAUACUAGAGUGCAGGAGAGGAAAGCGGAAUUCCUAGUGUAGCGGUGAAAUGCGUAGAUAUUAGGAAGAACACCAGUGGCGAAGGCGGCUUUCUGGACUGUAACAGACGCUGAGGCACGAAAGCGUGGGGAGCGAACAGGAUUAGAUACCCUGGUAGUCCACGCCGUAAACGAUGAGUGCUAGGUGUUGGGGUCUAAUUAGAUCUCGGUGCUGAAGUUAACGCAUUAAGCACUCCACCUGGGGAGUACGAUCGCAAGAUUGAAACUCAAAGGAAUUGACGG
rnacentral:rRNA from 1 species